GCCAGCAUGGCAGAGUGCUUUCAGCGUUGGACUAUGACUCUGGAGACUAGGGUUCAAUUCCCUGCUCAGCCA